UUAAAUUCAUUGACGAGAAAGAGUAUAGGAAGCCCUUGAUCCCCAGAGAGUUGGCACACCGCUGAGAGCCAAUGUUCAAGACUUCGUAGAAAAUCCUCUCCGAGAAGGAAAGCUGAAGUAAAUAAGUAAGCUGACCCGGGUUCCAGCCGUUACUAAGGAUGCGUAUGAUGGUACGUAGGUAGAGGUGUCGUAGGAUUAUGGUAGUCAUAAUCCCUACGGAACUAGGGUGGUAUCGCGAGAUGAAAUCUCGUCCCUUAU
rnacentral:ncRNA from 1 species